CCAGGUUGAUUCUGCCUGACGUAGACGCUAUUCCCUAAGAUUAACCCAUGCAUGUUAUUGAUUUUUGAAAAAUGGACUGCUCAGUAAUACUCACUUUAUUUUAUGUAUACUUAUUAUAACCACGUUAAAGUGUAGAUAAAAUGUAUACAGUAAGAGUGAGACCUAUCAGCUAGUUGUUAAGGUAAUGGCUUAACAAGGCAGUGACGGGUAACGGUAUUACUUUGUAAUAUUCCGGAGAAGGAGCCUGAGAGACGGCUACUAAGUCUAAGGAUUGCAGCAGGGGCGAAACUUGACCUAUGGAUUUUAUCUGAGGCAGUUAUGGGAAGUAAUAUUAUGUUGUUUCAUGUUUUAAAAGUAUAUGAGGUGAUUAAUUGGAGGGCAAAUCAAGUGCCAGCAGCCGCGGUAAUACUUGUUCCAAGAGUGUGUAUGAUGAUUGAUGCAGUUAAAAGUCCGUAGUUUAUUUUUAAGAAGCAAUAUGAGGUGUACUGUAUAGUUGGGAGAGAGAUGAAAUGUGACGACCCUGACUGGACGAACA
rnacentral:rRNA from 1 species